CUACGGGGGGCAGCAGUGAGGAAUAUUGCACAAUGGGGGGAACCCUGAUGCAGCAACGCCGCGUGGAGGAUGACGCAUUUCGGUGUGUAAACUCCUUUUAUAUGUCAAGAAAAUGACGGUAGCAUAUGAAUAAGCGCCGGCUAACUCCGUGCCAGCAGCCGCGGUAAUACGGAGGGCGCAAGCGUUACUCGGAAUCACUGGGCGUAAAGGACGCGUAGGCGGGUUGAAAAGUCAGGUGUGAAAGCCUACAGCUUAACUGUAGAACUGCACUUGAAACUCUCAAUCUAGAGUAUGGGAGGGGCAGAUGGAAUUAGUGGUGUAGGGGUAAAAUCCGUAGAUAUCACUAGGAAUACCUAAAGCGAAGGCGAUCUGCUGGAACAUUACUGACGCUAAGGCGUGAAAGCGUGGGGAGCAAACAGGAUUAGAUACCCUUGUAGUC
rnacentral:rRNA from 1 species